UUGUUGUAAACGGGACCAGGUUGUUCAAAAGCUGGUUAAUGCUGACCCAGGAUGAAAGUUAACGGAAGUAUAAAUAGUUCUUGUAUACAGAUAUUUUACUGCUUUUGUUUAGUGUAUUUUGAGAUUAUUCAAACUCAAAACAGAAGGCCAAACAAUCUACAGAAAACCUCGCUGCAAAGUUGCAAAAUUUAAAUCAAAGUUCUCGCUUAACCUGGGUUAUCUUAAUCAGGCUUUGAACAGCUGGGUCCAGGAGCUCCGCUUUUAGGCAUGGCUAAAUCUAUACACCUAUAUUACCCUUUUAAUUUAGGUGAGAAAUCCUAAAAAUGAUAAGAGAUGGACAGAAAAUUUUUGUUCUUUAGCAACGUAGUUCUCUCUGUGGUUGUUCCUAAACCCUUACUAUUAAUACUGUAGCGGGGAAAUAAUUUUCUGCUACUCUUCCCUUUUCACACCGGUCCCCUCGUGUACGUCACUGUCCGAGAGGAAAUUGGAUACCACUGUUGUGGAAUGCUAGUGCCAUUCUUCCAAGUGGAAAUCGCAGUAAUACAAUGUUUAGCUGAACGGUUUACAAUGUAAGAUGUAGUUCACUCGCAAAACAUCGUUUUACGGCUGGCCAAUGAUGACUUCUAUCCAGGAGCUGGAACAUUCGGCCUCUAUAGUGAUGGCGCCGCCAUCUUUGGUGACGCAAGAACAGCGCCAAGCCGCCGAACAAGUGUUCCUGAGUUUUAGAAGAUCUAAGUCGCCUUAUGCAGCAUGCAAGCACAUCUUAG